rnacentral:tRNA from 1 species
GCCCAACUGAGCCUCGGGGUCCGGGUGCAGGCUUCAAACCUGCGGCUGACUCGCGUCAGAGUGGUUCGACUCCACCUGGUGGGCG